rnacentral:rRNA from 2 species
GACGAACGCUGGCGGUGUGCUUAACACAUGCAAGUCGAACGGUAAGGCCCUUUCGGGGGUACACGAGUGGCGAACGGGUGAGUAACACGUGAGUAACCUGCCCUCAUCUCUGGGAUAACAGUCGGAAACGGUUGCUAAUACUGGAUAUGAGCUUGCAAGGCAUCUUGUGGGUUGGAAAGAUAUUUUUUGGUUGGGGAUGGACUCGCGGCCUAUCAGCUUGUUGGUGAGGUAGUGGCUCACCAAGGCUUCGACGGGUAGCCGGCCUGAGAGGGCGACCGGCCACAUUGGGACUGAGAUACGGCCCAGACUCCUACGGGAGGCAGCAGUGGGGAAUAUUGCACAAUGGACGGAAGUCUGAUGCAGCAACGCCGCGUGCGGGAUGACGGCCUUCGG